UCAAUAAGACAAGUCUUCCAUUGAGCAUGCUUGGGCAAGUACAGCUGGAAUAGAAAAGAUAGACAGUGGAUUCUUUGGCUUCAUCCAAGUGGGCUGAGGAUUGAAGUAUUUUUCCAGUCAUGUUCUUGAACACCUACUUUCAUGGCAUGCUGACAUUUCCAGACUACUGAAGAUGUGAUGAUUAACUGAUCCUGCAUUUGAUGAAAAAAAAAGUUUGCACAUUCCAAAGGAGAUAGGUUUCAAAUGACUAUAUAGGGUACAAUUUCCACUGAAGUGAUUUCUCUUAAUCUUAAUCCUUAACCACUCUCAUUGCUACAGUACCUUCCAAAAGUAAGCAUAGUUCAUAAAGUCUUCAGACUGCCUUUUAGCACAUUAACAUACUCUUCACAAUCCCACAAUAAAAGCACCUUAAGUGCAGGGA
rnacentral:lncRNA from 1 species